GACGAACGCUGGCGGUGUGCUUAACACAUGCAAGUCGAACGGUAAGGCCCUUUCGGGGGUACACGAGUGGCGAACGGGUGAGUAACACGUGAGUAACCUGCCCUCAUCUCUGGGAUAACAGUCGGAAACGGUUGCUAAUACUGGAUAUGAGCUUGCAAGGCAUCUUGUGGGUUGGAAAGAUUUUUUUUGGUUGGGGAUGGACUCGCGGCCUAUCAGCUUGUUGGUGAGGUAGUGGCUCACCAAGGCUUCGACGGGUAGCCGGCCUGAGAGGGCGACCGGCCACAUUGGGACUGAGAUACGGACCAAACUCCUACGGGAGGCAGCAGUGGGGAAUAUUGCACAAUGGACGGAAGUCUGAUGCAGCAACGCCGCGUGCGGGAUGACGGCCUUCGGGUUGUAAACCGCUUUCAAUUGUGACGAAGCUUUUUUGUGACGGUAGCAGUAGAAGAAGCACCGGCUAACUACGUG
rnacentral:rRNA from 1 species